rnacentral:rRNA from 1 species
UACAGAGGUCUCAAGCGUUGUUCGGAUUCAUUGGGCGUAAAGGGUGUGUAGGUGGCGCGCUAAGUCGGGUGUGAAAUUUCGGAGCUUAACUCCGAAACUGCAUUCGAUACUGGCGUGCUUGAGGACUGGAGAGGAGACUGGAAUUCAUGGUGUAGCAGUGAAAUGCGCAGAUAUCGGGAGGAACACCCGUAGCGAAGGCGGCACUCUGGGCCGUGACUGACGCUGAGGAGCGAAAGCGUGGGGAGCAAACAGG